UUGAAUCAGAGGGUGUCGUUGGGAUCUGAAAAAAAUCAGGCCUGGACGUUCUUUCAUUAUGGACUCCUGUGGUCCAGACUGUCAGACCCGAACUCUGCAAGACCAGGUGUGGACCAGGACCACGGUGUGGACCAGGUCUGGACCAGGACCACAAUGUGGACCAGGCCUGGACCAGGACCACAGUGUGGACCAGGUUCAGGGUUGAACCUGUUCAGACCUGAUGAAGCCUCUGGUUUGAAGCUAAAGUUGGAUCAAACAUGUGAAUCUGAUUAUGACUGAAUGAGCUGAGAACAGGAGUGUGUGUGUGGUUGGUCAGAACAGAGUGUGUGUGGGGUGUGUGUGUUGUUCAGAACGUGUGUGUGUGUAGGUGUUUGUUCAGAACAGUGUGUGUGUGUGUCUUACUUGUUGACUGUUCAUGUAGGCGUCGUCCUGAAGAGUACGACCUCCACGGCAGGAAGAGACCACGCACCGACUGUCCACCAGAGUUCAACCAGAGAGCAGGUUUUAUUCAGGACCUGCGUGCCCAGCCGGUGGACAGACGCUUUUCCAGUGUCAGACGAGACGUGUUUCUGAAUGGGGUGAG